GCCAGCGAAGCCCGAGCAAUUGAAGCCAUUGGACAUUGGUUGCACAACUUGAUAAAGUGAAGAAUCUGCUUGCGUCUGAGUUUGGGAGUCUAUAAACAUGGGGAAGAGCACAUUUUCAUAGUAACUUGAUGAAGAAGAGGAACAAGAAGUAACAACUAUUCUAGGUAGAUCUGGAUAUCUUUCCCAGCAGGAAAUCAAAUCUGCCAUUUUGAAAGCAACACAAUUCCUAAGGAAAGCAAAAGGGGAGUCCAAUGGCAACAGUGAAAAAACAGAUGCGUCAGCAUCUGUCCCUGAUGAGACACUGACGCCAGAACAGUUAAGGGAAAAGAAGAAACAAAUAUUACUUAAAACCACAACAGAGGGCAAAUUGCACGCUAAGCAGAAACGUGCUUGCUGAAGAGGAGGCUUUGCAGGAGAAACAAGAAGAGAAGAAGCGUGCGGAGAACCCAGAUCUAUACCUUGAAGAUCUUCGGGCCCGAUAUUCAGAACUUUCAGAGAAAUUUGAUCAGAGGAAGCGACAGAAAGUUAGUGGUGGUCAGACAAACGGGAAGUCGGGAACCAUUGUGCAUCUGGUGGUGAAGGCCAUGGAGAACGACUAAAUGCAGGUCAUAAAGAAAGGAUGCGGCUGCUGGCGUCAGCUGAAUUUGAUCGAGGCAAAGGCGAGGACACUUUUGGAAUGAGAGACGAGGAUUGGUUAGUGUUCAACAAGAUGAGCCAUUGCUCCCCUGAAGCUUGUUAGAGCACCUGAUCUUGUUUUAGAUGCGUGGAGGGGUGAUGUUGCCUUUGCGGCAUCAAGCAAGUUUGGUAUUGCAGAGAGCACAGUACAACAUUGUUUACUCAAUAUAACCUCUCACAGAAAAUGACAUAAUGAGCUAUUCAUCUCAGUUAGGCUAUUUAUUUGACAGCUGAUACAAUUUGAUGUAGCAACAAAAUUUUUCAGAACUGAAAGUGAUUUUUUUAAUGAUCGGAUUUGGAGGGUUCAAAUUA